rnacentral:tRNA from 1 species
GGGAUAUGUUGUAGAUUGGUUCUACGUUUUGAUUGCAGAUCUUAAAUAAGGGGUUCAAAUCCUCCAUAUCCUU